rnacentral:rRNA from 1 species
UACGUAGGCAGCGAGCGUUGUUCGGAAUUACUGGGCGUAAAGGGCGCGUAGGCGGCCAGCGCAAGUCAGUUGUGAAAUCUCCGGGCUUAACUCGGAACGGUCAACUGAUACUGCGCGGCUAGAGUGCAGAAGGGGCAACUGGAAUUCUCGGUGUAGCGGUGAAAUGCGUAGAUAUCGAGAGGAACACCUGCGGCGAAGGCGGGUUGCUGGGCUGACACUGACGCUGAUGCGCGAAAGCCAGGGGAGCGAACGGG